rnacentral:rRNA from 1 species
GACGAACGCUGGCGGCGUGCUUAACACAUGCAAGUCGAGCGGAGCGGCGAACGGGUGAGUAACGCGUGAGUAACUGCCCCCCUCUCUGGGAUGACAGUUGGAAACGGCUGCUAAUACCGGAUAGUGGGGGAUGACUCGCGUCCUAUCAGCUUGUUGGUGGGGUAGUGGCCUACCAAGGCGACGACGGGUAGCCGGCCUGAGCGGGCGACCGGCCACAUUGGUCUAAGGUACGGCCCAGACUCCUACGGGACGCAGCAGGGGGGAAUAUUGCGCAAUGGGGGAAACCCUGUUGCAGAAACGCCGCGUGCGGAAUGACGGCCUUCGGGUUGUAAACCGAUUUCAGCCAUGACGCGGUAGUGGCAGAAGAAGCACCGGCUAACUACGUGCCAGCCGCCGCGGUAAUAC